rnacentral:tRNA from 1 species
GCCAGCAUGGCUCAGUGGUUGAGCAUUGGCCUAGGAACCAGGAGGUCAGGGUUCUAUUCCCUGUCAGGGCA